GGGGGCGCUUAAGUAUUAAGCCAUAGCAUAAGUUCGUGAAAUGGAGGGAAUUUAUAUUGGCAAAAGAGAAGCAUAUCAUUGACAUUUUCAAUUUGGCGGUCCUUUUUCCAGUAAAAAGGCCACACAAGUAAUUCACUGUUUUUGCUUCGGUUUGUAAGGGUUAUAGUCAGAGCAGUUCAUGGAGGAGGAACCAGCGAAUCGCCGUACGAAACGAACUAGAGCUCAAACUAGGGUUACUGAGGAACAAUAUGUGAAUGAGGAAGAGAGAGAAGAAUGGUCUGAUGAUUUUGAAGAGUCACGUGCCAGACCUAAGCGCACUAAGCCUUUAGGAGGAGGCACUUCAUCUACUGCUGCUCCUGCUCCUACAAAUGCUCAUCACAGUUUAAUAGAUGUUGUUAAAGGUGAUAGGAGACAAAUUCCUCUAGUGGUCAAGCAUUGGGUGGAACACUAUGAGAAGGAUCAGAAAGCUGCAAUGGCUGGACUCUUCAGCAUGAUGUUUGAGGCUUGUGGAGCAAAAUAUCAUAUUGAAGAAGAUUUCUUGGACCAAACUGAUGUUGAUGAUGUAGUAGUUUCUCUUGUAAACAUGGCUAAGAGGGGUGAAGUUGAGGAUUAUCAAACUUCAAAAAAGAAGGACUUCAAGAACUUCAAAGAUAACCUCGUCUACUUCUGGGAUACUUUGGUUGCUGAAUGUGAAAACGGACCACUUUUUGAUAAGUUCUUGUUUGACAAGUGCAUGGAUUAUGUGAUUGCGCUAUCAUGCACUCCUCCGAGAGUAUAUCGUCAGGUUGCUUCACUAAUGGGGCUACAACUUGUUACAUCCUUUAUACACGUUGCCAAAGUACUUGGUGCGCAGCGGGAAACCACACAGAGGCAACUAAAUGCUGAAAAGAAGAAGAAAGUGGAUGGGCCUCGAGUUGAAUCACUAAAUAAAAGAUUAUCCAUGGCCCAUGAAAAGAUAACAGUAAUAGAGGAGAUGAUGCGGAAGAUAUUUACUGGGCUAUUUAUGCACCGUUAUCGAGAUGUUGAACCUGAUAUCAGAAUGGCAUGCAUACAGUCAUUGGGUGUUUGGAUCCUGUCAUACCCCUCUCUGUUUUUGCAGGAUUUGUAUUUGAAAUAUCUAGGAUGGACUUUGAAUGAUAAAAGUGAUGGUGUAAGGAAGGCAUCAGUUCUUGCACUGCAGAAUCUUUAUGAGGUGGAUGAUAAUGUACCAUCUCUUGGUCUUUUCACUGAGAGGUUUUAUAAAAGGAUGAUCGAGCUUGCUGAUGAUGUUGAUAUUUCUGUGGCAGUAUGUGCUAUAGGACUUGUGAAACAACUGAUAAGACAUCAACUUGUUCCUGAGGAGGAAUUAAGCUCUUUAUAUGAUUUGCUAAUUGAUGAUCCACCGGAAAUCAGGCGUGCCAUUGGAGCACUAGUGUAUGAUAAUCUGAUUGCCCAGCGAUUGAACAGUUCACAAUCUAGUUCAGGGGAUAAUAAUGAUUCUUCUGAGGUUCAUCUUAGUAGACUGCUGCGCAUAUUGGGGGAGUUUUCAAAGGACGAAAUGCUGAGUAUGUAUGUCAUUGAUGAUAUCUGGGAGUAUAUGGAUGCCAUGAAAGAUUGGAAGCGUAUCCUGUCUAUGCUCUUGGAGGAAGACCCGUCAGCUGAACUAAGUGAUGUAGAUGCGACAAACCUUAUUCGACUGCUUUCUGCGUCAAUUAGAAAGGCAAUUGGAGAGAAGAUUGUUCCUGCUAGUGACAAUAGAAAACAAUACUAUACUAAAGCACAAAGGGAAAUGUUUGAAAGUUGUAAGCGUGAUAUAACCGUUGCUAUGAUGAGGAAUUAUCCGCUGCUUCUUCGCAAAUUUAUGUCCGACAAAGCAAAAAUUCCCUAUCUACUUGAAAUCAUUGUUCAUUUGAACCUUGAGCUCUAUUCUCUUAAAAGACAAGAUCAGAAUUUUAAAUCUGCUGUCAUUCUGAUGAAAGAGGCAUUUUUCAAGCAUGGUGAGAAGGAAGCUCUGAGAUCUUGUGUAAAAGCUCUGAACUUCUGUGCUACUGAGAGUCGAGGGGAAUUACAGGACUUUGCCCUUAACAAAUUGAAGGGGAUUGAAGAUGAACUCAUUAUCAAACUUAAAUCUGCAAUGAAAGAAGUUGCGGAUGGUGAUGAUGAAUAUUCACUGCUUGUUAACUUGAAAAGGUUGUAUGAACUUCAAUUGUCUAGGCAAAUUUCCAUUGAAAGCUUGUAUAAAGAUUUUGCAGAGACUCUUAAAAACUUCAGAAGUAUUGAUGACGAGGUAAUUGGAUUUCUGCUUCUUAACAUGCAUCUGCAUGUUUGCUGGUGCCUACACUCUAUCAUAAACUCUGGCACAGUCCCGGAGCAAUCAAUAUCUUCCUUAAUCUCCAAGCGCAGUACCUUGUUUGAACUACUUGAGUCCUUCUUGACUACUGAAUCUCCGGGAGGUCUUCGUGCGAGUCAACUUGCAUGUAGGGUAUGUGUUAUUUUAUCAGAACAAUGGUGUCUGUUCAGGACAGCAACCUUUGCUUCCACGGAGCUAGAAGCUUUGGGGUACUCUCCAGAUGAAUCCAUUCUUCAAAAGUUCUGGAAGCUUAGUGAAGGCCAACUACAUAUUCCAGAUGAGACUGAAGAAGAAGAUUCUAAUAGGGAAUAUAUUGAGGAGACAAAUCGAGAUGCUGUAAUCAUUGCUGUUGGGAAGUUGGUUGCUGUUGACGCAGUUCCUAAGGAAUAUCUUGCUCCAGAGAUUAUAUCUCAUAUUGCAAUGCAUGGGACAAGUGUGUCUGAGGUCAUUAAGCAUUUGCUAACCGUGUUAAGGAAUAAAGGUGCAGAUGUUGCACGUUUGUUCCUAGAGGCACUAAAAAGGGCCCAUGAGCGGUACUUAUUAGCACUUUCCUCUGAUGAUGACGAAUCAGCGAGAAAGACUUUUCAUGAAUGUGAAGAUCUUGCCAGUCGGCUUGCUAAGACAUUUGGAAAUGCUGCUAGAAACAAGCACCGGUCAGAUGGUUUAAAUAUUGUCACAGGAGGCAUUCACUAUGCCUUUACAGAUGCUCCAAAACAUCUAUCUUUCUUGGAUGGAGCUGUGCUGCAUUUCAUAUCCAAACUUCCUCCUCCAGAUAUUAUUGAUAUCUUGAAAGGUGUCGAGAAAAGAACUGAAAAUGUUAACACGGAUGAAGAUCCGAGCAGCUGGAGACCCUAUCAUAUAUUUGUAGACACGGUCCGUGAGAAGUAUGUAAAGGGUGAAGGUUUACAAGAUGAUAAGGAAGGUACAGCUGUGAGACGUCGAGGUCGUCCUCCUAAGAAGCAGAACCUUCAAGGAAAAAAACUAUUUGACGAGCACAACUCUAGUGAAGACGAGGAAUCAAUCAGUGGAUCUGAGCAGGAGGCAGAUGAAGAAAAACAAGAUGACGAAGAGGUCCCUCUAAUACAUUCUAUUAAGUCAUCAUCCAAGCUAAGGUCUCUGAAGAUAUCAAGAGAUAGCUGAGUCCAUGUGAGAACUGGUCAUUCUGGUCUGUGUUUAGGCUGGUCCUGUUCCAAAACAUCAGGUUAUCAAAUCUUAGAAGUCUUUUCUCUAUCAUCAUGAGCAAACAAGUUCCUCGUGAACCAUAGUAGUUUGAGGAAGCCUUUGUUGAAGUACACCUUAGGGUGCAGCCUUGAGUAUUUAAUAGGUCAUGUUGUCUCAUAUCUUUUUUCUUUUUCUUUUUUGAAGUAGCUAUAUUUGCAAUUUCUUUUUGUCAGUUUCAAUUCGUUGUGGAUGUGCGAAGGUAUUAUUUGUCAGGAUAAUUAUUUGGAAAAUGUGUAGUGGCUAGUAACUGCUAAAUUGAGAUUUUUUUUUUUUGACGGAAGAGAGAUGUAAAGAAGCUUAAUGUAGGAGAAAUGCAAAAUAAUCAAAAACGGAUCAACGUUUCUUAUCA